CGAACGAGUGGAACUUGGUCUGCUAGUGGCAAACGGGCGAGUAAUACAUAUUUAACUUACUUUUACGAGGAGGAUAGCAGUUCGAAAGGACUAUUAAUACUCCAUAGGUUUAUAAACGAAAUCAAAGAGGUUCCCUCGGGGGCCUCGCGUGAAAAUAGGAAUAUGUCCUAUUAGGUAGGUGGCGGGGUAAAGGCCCACCAAGCCAGUGAUGGGGAUCGGGGCUGAUAGGUUGAACAGCCUACAUGGGAUUGAGAUAUGGCCCAUAUUCCUACGGGAAGCAACGGUGAGGAUUUUUUCACAAUGGACAAAAGUCUGAUGGAUCAAUACCACGUGAACGAUGAAUGUCUUCUGAUUGUAAAGUUCUUUUAUUUAUGAAAAAAAGCGCGCUAGGAAAUGAGCACGCCUUGAUGGUACUA
rnacentral:rRNA from 1 species